AAUAAUCCCAGCAUAACUUAUCCCAGCAUAACUUAUCCCGACAUAAGCCGUAUUCAAACCAAACGACCCCUAAAUGAAGAAUCAAAAUAAAUGUUGUAUGUAAUGAAGAAUCAAAAUAAAUGUUGUAUGUUUGAACUAAGAACACACCUUUAUCUUCAUGCAAUUGUAGAGGGGUUAAGAGAAGUCACUUUAAUAGUAUCAGAGAUCCAAAGUCAAC
rnacentral:lncRNA from 1 species